CUAUCCCUAGCCUCUCACCUUAUAUCCUCAAAGCUCCAGCAAACUCUAGGUAAUUUAAAACCUGAAUUUCAUAAAACUACAGUUAAAUCCUAGAGAAGUAGACAACCUUGUUCUUACCGAUCAAAGCCCAUGUGAAAAUUCAGAGGCAUUUUUUCCUUAAGAGUUCAAGAAAACUUUUGGUUCAGCAAACCUCGAAGGUGAAAGGAGGAUGGAUUCAUCUUCAGACUGAUCCAGGCCCAACUCUAGUUACUAAGCCAAAUGGCCCGGCUUCUAGUGCUAGCAAGUGAAGAGAUGCCCUGCAAUACCGGUGAGACCAAUGCCAAUAAGUCGGAUAGAACUGCCGUUGACUAUCAGCCACACCGCCGCUGCUUUUUGAGACCCAAGAUAAAGUAUUGGGGAGCUCAAUGGCAAAAUCCAUGACCAUAAAGAAGUAUAGAGUUGGAAAUAGGAUUACCAUAAUCCACACGCGUGUGGCGUGGUAUGGUAAAUGGAGGUUUGAUGCUCAAGUUGGUGAUAUGUACCAUACACUCGUCCUUUUUUUUUUUCUUUUUUUAUUUGGGUACGUUAGUGGAGAAGAAGGCCUCUACCUGUUUUUUAUUAGUAUUUUAAAAUAAAGAUAAUUACAACUCAUUUUUUUAUAACCCUGAUUUAAAAGAGAUAUAGCCUUCUAUACAAGAAUAUCAACCACUAUGUUGGACUCACAAAAAAUGUGGAAGCAGGACCAUCGAUGAUUAGAAAGUAGUUGGGACCAUCGAUGAUUAGAAAGUAGUUGUCUACAAUUUGCUGCCAUCGUAUAUAACUUCCAAAAAGGUCGACAAUGUUCAUGAAUAAUAUCAACGAGCAAAACCUGAAUCACUUUCAAUCUGAAGAGAGAAAAAAAUUAGCUGAACGGCUAAAACCAAACCCUUUUCAAGAGCACAUAAACGGACUUCAAUGAAAAGAGAAUUCAAAUGAUACUGCGAAAUGAUAUAUGUGAAAAAAACUAAUGUCCUAAA